rnacentral:SRP_RNA from 13 species
GCUGGGCAUGGUGGCGCAUGCCUGUAAUCCCAGCUACUCAGGAGGCUGAGGCAGGAGAAUUGCCUGAACCCAGGAGGCGGAGGUUGCGGUGAGCCGAGAUCACGCCAUUGCAUUCCAGCCUGGGUAACAAGAGCGAAACUCCGUCUCAAAAAAAAAAGAGUUGUUUAAAAUUUUUUUUUUUUUUUGCGACAGAGUUUUUGCUCUGUUGCCCAGGCUGGAGUGCAAUGGUGCGAUCUCAGCUCACUGCAACUUCUGCCUCCUGGGUUCAAGCGAUUCUCCUGCCUCAG